rnacentral:tRNA from 1 species
GCCGUGAUAGCUCAGUUGGUAGAGCAGCCGCCUUGUAAGCGGCAGGUCGCCAGUUCAAGCCUGGCUCACGGCUCCA